AUACGGAGGAUGCAAGCGUUAUCCGGAUUUAUUGGGUUUAAAGGGUGCGCAGGCUGACCGGUAAGUCAGGGGUGAAACUUUACAGCUUAACCGUAAACGUGCCUUUGAUACUGCCGGACUAGAGUUUAAGAGACGUAAUUGGAAUGUGAUGUGUAGCGGUGAAAUGCUUAGAUAUAUCACAGAACGCCGAUCGUGAAGACAGAUUACGAACUUAAUACUGACGCUCGUGCACGAAAGCGUGGGGAUC
rnacentral:rRNA from 1 species